rnacentral:misc_RNA from 1 species
GGUCACAGUGGGGCCCUUUGGAGCGCUCAGUAGUCCCUUGGGAUCACUGAUUCCGAAGAAUCUGACUAUACCUGCAAGUCCUGUGGGAAAAUAAAAUUUAAAAUCUUUAACUUACAAUAAGUGGUUGGAAUUGUUUUAUAUGUUUUAACCAAAGUGUCAGCCAAGGUGAUUUGUUUGAAUUCUAUACUAGUAUGGUACAAUGCAGAGAUGUACAUGUGCAUACAUGUGUCGCGAAAACAAACUUUUAUUUGAAUUGUCUCUAAAUGAUUGCAAGUCAUGGAUUAAGGAGGCAUUCAACUUAAUUCGGAUU